UCUACGGGUGGCAGCAGUGGGGAAUAUUGGACAAUGGGGGGAACCCUGAUCCAGCCAUGCCGCGUGUGUGAAGAAGGCCCUCGGGUUGUAAAGCACUUUCAGUGAGGAAGAACGCCUGGUGGUUAAUACCCAUCAGGAAAGACAUCACUCACAGAAGAAGCACCGGCUAACUCCGUGCCAGCAGCCGCGGUAAUACGGAGGGUGCGAGCGUUAAUCGGAAUUACUGGGCGUAAAGCGCGCGUAGGUGGCUUGAUAAGCCGGUUGUGAAAGCCCCGGGCUCAACCUGGGAACGGCAUCCGGAACUGUCAAGCUAGAGUGCAGGAGAGGAAGGUAGAAUUCCCGGUGUAGCGGUGAAAUGCGUAGAGAUCGGGAGGAAUACCAGUGGCGAAGGCGGCCUUCUGGACUGACACUGACACUGAGGUGCGAAAGCGUGGGUAGCAAACAGGAUUAGAUACCCUGGUAGUC
rnacentral:rRNA from 1 species